AUGAACACCGAAGGGAACGGGCAGAGUGUUCUAAGCACAUUACCCAAGGAACUACCGUUAGACUUCUUGAGGACUAUCACAAAUCAGUUCUCAGAGGACCGUGUUCUUGGUACAGGUGCAUUUGGAACAGUUUAUACGGUCUUGAAGAGGCUUGCCGAAAAUGCUCCCCUCCCACGUGACAAAGCAAUUACCAAUGAGGUUCAGAAUAUCAUGGCUCUCAAACAUGACAACAUAGUAAAGCUGGUUGGGUUUUGCCAUGAAGGACAGAAGAGAGUGGUACUGAACAAUGGGAGGUAUAUUGUUGCAGAUGUUUUUGAAAGCCUACUCUGCUAUGAGUAUUUACCCAAGGGAAGCCUUCUGAAGAAUCAUUUUGACAGAUCCAAUAGCAUGGCUUGGGACACACGCUUCAAAAUAAUCAAGGGGAUCUGCAAUGGUUUACUUUUCCUUCAUAGGAUUCCCAUUAUCCAUAUGGACCUCAAGCCCGAAAAUAUAUUGUUGGAUGACAACAUGAACCCAAAAAUCGCGGACUUUUGA
rnacentral:rRNA from 1 species